GACUUAAAAAAUCCGUCGACUUUAGAAAUCGUGAGGGUUCAAGUCCCUCUAUCCCCA
rnacentral:tRNA from 90 species